CAGCCGCCGCGGUAAUACGUAGGGUGCGAGCGUUACUCGGAUUUACUGGGCGUAAAGCGUGCGCAGGCGGCCCGUUAAGACAGGUGUGAAAUCCCUGGGCUCAACCUAGGAAUUGCGCUUGUGACUGGCGGGCUCGAGUACGGUAGGGGGGGGUGGAAUUCCUGGUGUAGCAGUGAAAUGCGUAGAGAUCAGGAGGAACACCGAUGGCGAAGGCAGCCCCCUGGGCCUGUACUGACGCUCAUGCACGAAAGCGUGGGGAGCAAACAGGAUUAGAUACCCUGGUAGUCCACGCCCUAAACGAUGGGUACUAGCCGUUUGGUGCGCGAUAGCGCUGAGUGGCGAAGCUAACGCGUGAAGUACCCCGCCUGGGGAGUACGGCCGCAAGGUUGAAACUUAAAGGAAUUGGCGGG
rnacentral:rRNA from 1 species